AUAUUUUCAAUAUCUUAAUCAUCGUAUAACUAUAAUUUUUAUCUCAACUCCGAAACACCAAAAUCGACAAAUCAAUGAUGGAUAAAAGAUUAUGUAACCGGUAAUGAGCGAUGGACGAACACAUUUUUGUAGUUAUCGAUAAGUGUCGAUACGAAGGGUAUAUAUUUUUUUUAUUAUUAUUUUCAAUAAUAUCUAGGGUAGAGAAUCAAACGAGAAAUCAUGUGGUCGACACGGUGGAUGCCAACCGAAAAUACAAGCAGAUAAUAAUAUUAUGUUUCACCAUGUCAUAUUCACAGAUUCAACUUACCCGUGCAGCUGUAUUGAUACGGAGCCCCGACGCCUUUAUCUUAAAACUGUUCGACAAACGUUUUAUCUUUUAUAUUCUUUAUCGGACCGAACUGUAAAACUCCAGCCAAGUCGACGAUCCAACACUUGACAGGUACGUGCGUAUGUGCGAGAGAUAAUUGUCUUGCUCCGAACUUGUCACAAUCCAUCAGCUGGCUCCUCCUACGCCGGUGCCCCCUUCUCACUUGUUCUACAGCUGAACAUUUCUGUGACAACAAAUGAAAGAUCCUCUACGCACUACCAGUGAUGCUACUAGACCAAUCGCACAGUUUUCAUUACUUUCGUUGCCGGUGGAAAUAUUUUGUUUAUUAGCUUUAUACAUCUGUUGUAUUGUAUUGAGUACUGGACUAGUUCUUUUAUUCAGCUCUAUCGAUACAAUUUGUAAAAAGAUUUCAAGUUUACCAGUUGGUGAAAUUGGCUUUCUGUAAAAUCAAGAAAAGUGUUCAGCAUUUAAAGUGGUGUUGAACAAAAACUUCCUUUUGAAGAUAUCGUCACUAGUACUGUCUGGUUCUUGCCACUCCUACAUUAAAACUAUUAACCGGUUCAAACCGGUUCACGAAUAAAAUACAUUAAGUAUUUAUUUAAAAAAAUUAUAUAAGUAAUGGUGGAAUCGAUCCAUCGUCCAUUAAGAGUUAAGUACUACAAUCAGCAAUCUUAAAUUGAGCAACUACAAUGAAAUAAAAACCAGAAAUUGAAACUCUAUUAAACGUAACAGUUUUAUUUUUUUUUAUUUUUCAUAAAAAAAUGUGUUUAAGCUCCUUAAAAUGUUUCAAUUAUGGCCUAGAGGGUCAUUUUUGUACUUAAUUCUAUUAACGCUAAUUUGAUUUAAGUCUUUGGCGGUUCAAAUCAUUUUUGCCAAAAUUAUACUUUGGACCCUUUUAGAAAAUUAUUUACAAUGUAUUACCCAAAAUGAUUGAAGAUACCAGAACGCCAAAGUUUAAAAAUAUUAAUUUAGGUAAUUCGAGUCAAAUAUUCAGCACUAAAGAAAAUGUAUAAAAAACAUUAUUAUAUUCGUUUAUAUAAAAUGGAUGUUUGAAAUUUUAAUGAAUGAAAUUUGACACUUUAGUAGUGGCAAGUACCAGAGAAAACAGACUCCAUUUUUUUGGAUCAUAAUAAUAGUAUGGUAAUUUUUGCCCAUAAUUUUCAGGUACAAAUAGUAUAAUGUAAAAUUCACCCACUAAAAAAAAGAAACAAAAUGAGAUAAUUUGCUACUUCAUUUGGUAGUAAUCAAUAGCUUGUUAUAAAUCUUAUUUACAAGUGCUGUGCAAAGCAAAAUAUAAAACGUUAUAUUAUAUUAAGUAUUAACGUAUACUGUAUAUUAUUCCAUUGGUAUUUACAAAAAAGUUUACUAAAGUAUAAAUAGUACUUUAGUAUUUUACAGAUUUAAAAAAAACCCCAUUGAAAAGAAUAUUAAAUUUAACUCUCAACUCGAAAGUAAUCGGUUUUUGAAAAGCUAUAUCUGCUAAUUACUUAAAGUUUGACCUGUAAUUGAAAUAAACAGAACAAAUGGUUCUCGUGUUACUACUUCAAAAUGUAUAUGCUGGGCAACAUUUACGUAUGUUAACAUCUUUACUAUAUAAAAAACACAAUUUACAAUUUUACCCUUUUGUUUGGCGUAGUUUACAUUACACCCCUUAGAAGACUUAGAUUUAUGGUAAUAAAAAUAAUUUUGCGACUGCGAUUUUAACUUGUGUUUUAUAGUUUGUUUUUUUUUUUGAGUAAGUGCAACCGAAAAAAAAGACAGCAGUAACGGUUACUCAAUUCAGUCUAUAUAGCAGUUUCUUUAGACCGGCUACAAUUUUAAAGAAGACAAAUAAGAUUAGCAAAGGAUUUGCAACAGCAGCAGUCAAAAAUCAUUUAAAUAACACACAACAAAAUAGGGUUAUUGUGAUUUUUUGGUAAAACGUUCAAUAUAUUCAUAUUUUAGCUUAAUACUUAA